rnacentral:lncRNA from 1 species
ACUACAAAAAAGCGCGUAUUUACCGGCGAAAACUACCGGCGGCGAUUUUGCCGUCGGUAGAUAACGGCGGCAAGGCGGCGGCAUUGCAGGCGACCCGAAAUUUCGAAAUUACCGGCCAGUUACCGACGGCAAACUCGCCGCCGGUAUGUAACGGCGGCGUCGCCGUCGUUAAUGUUAAAAUACGCAUUAUUUAAUUAAAUUUAUAGACUUAGCGGCGGCAAAAUCCCCGCCGCUAUAUAGCGGCGGCAUUUGCCGUCGGUAACCUUUAAAAUAUAGGGCAGCGGGUUUGCCCAUUUUUUCAGUAUCUGCGCCGCAACCAACCCCCCCACGCGAACAGAAACUACCCCCCCAGCCCCUCCCCUGCUGCUGCUGCUCUUCCUUCGCCGCCGCCUCCGCCGCCGCCGACCGCCGCCGACCGCCGCCGACCCAGCAGGUAUCUCUCUCUCUCUCUCUCUCUCUCUCUCUACUAUAUAUAUAUAUAUAUAUAUAUAUUAUUAUUAUAUAUAUAUAUAUAAUUUUAAUUAUAUAUAUAUAAUUAUAUAAUUUCACUUAUAUUAUUUAUUGUAGUUCGACGACCUCGUUUCACCGCCUUCUUCACGACACCCACCGGAAACCACCACCGUACGCUCUCUAAUUUAUUUAUUUAAUUAUUUAAUUAUGAAUUUAUUUAUGUAUUUAAUUAUAUAUUAAUUAAAUAGAUUUAUUUGUUAUAUAUAGUUAAUUAAUUUAUAAUAGAUUUUGUUUAUAACUAAAUUAUAUGAAGCAUGAUUAAUUUUAAAUUAUAUUAAUCCAUUUAAUAUAUGAUGUUGUUAGUUUAAUUUUAAAUUAUGAAGCAUGAUUAAUUUUAAAUUAUAUUAAUUUUAAUCAAUUAGUUUAAGUUGUUUGUUAGAAUAAUUUAUAUAUGUUGGAUAAUUUUGUUAAAUUAAAUGUUAUGUGCUAUGUGUUUAUGAAAUGUUAUAUUAUUAUAUAUAUAUAUAUUGUGGGAUAGAUUUAAUCAAUUUCUUAAGGAUCUUCUCCCUUUGGGAUAGAAAUUGAUUAUUUCUUAAGGAUAUCUUCUCCCUACAAAUGAUUGUUUUUAAUUUAAUUACCAUGAUUUUUAUUGCUUUUAUUUGUAUUGUAUUAUUGCUUCGACAUUGGGGGGCCGGGUAGACCUAGUAUAGGCUUAGUAAAUUAGGACCACUAUGGUCACUAUAGUUGCUGGUAGAGUCGAGCACUUGGUAGUUAGGAUAGUGGGGUUAUGCUGUCGAAAUUUUGUUAGAUUUCAAGUAAUUUAUUAUAUUUUAUUGUUUUUUUCAAUUAGAAUUUGCAAGAAUGAGUGAUAAUCGUACGUGGAUGUACGCGAGAUACAAUGAUCGUACCGCAUUUGAAACGGGGCUUGAGUUUUUCCUUGAGUGGGCGUUCAAUCAAACGGCGUACACAGAUGGACAAGGUAACAUUAGGUGCCCGUGUAAGAAGUGCAAGAAUCAAGCGUAUUUAGAUGUACCUACGGUCAGAGAACAUGUUAGUAGGCGUGGAUUUGUCCUGAAUUACAAAGUUUGGGUUUGUCACGGGGAAGCACCGCUGUCUAUGCCGAGAGAACAUGCUAUAAUGAAUGAGGAUGAUGGAUUAUACAAUAACUACGAAAGGAUGGUGCAUGACCAUGCUGGACCUAGUAAUUAUCAAGAUCCUCCAAAUCUGGAGCAGCCGCCCAAUAAUGACGCUCAACAGAUUUAUAACAUGUUGGAUACAGCGGAUACUCCAUUGUACGCAGGAUGUGACACGUACUCACAAUUAAGUUGGAUGACUCAAUUCAUGAGCAUAAAGACUGAAAGCCACAUGUCAGAGAGGACUUACAAUCAGAUGUCUUCGAUGAUGAAAGCUGCUUUACCAGAGGGUAACAACUGUCCAGAAGACUUCUAUAGUACAAAAAGAAAUCUACGUGGUUUGGGUUUGCCAGUAGAGAAGAUCGAUUGCUGUGUUAAUAACUGCAUGUUGUAUUGGGGGGAAACUAGUGAGCUACAUAGUUGUAUGUUCUGUGACCAAUCACGAUAUAAGGACAGCUUGCGUGCAUCUGGGAGUCGCAGAAAGAACAAGUGCCCGCUAAACAGAUGCACUAUUUUCCCUUGACGCCCCGAUUGCAGAGAUGUUUGCAUAUCCUGCAACUGCUGAACAUAUGCGGUGGCAUGCGACCUCCACAGACGAUGGGAUAAUGCGCCACCCGGCCGACUCUCCGGCAUGGAAACAUUUGAAUUCAGUCUUUCCAGGAUUCGCCGAUGAGAUUAGAAAUGUGAGGUUGGGCCUCUCUACAGAUGGUUUUGCCCCAUUUGCACAAUCAGGGCGUCAAUAUUCUUCUUGGCCAGUUAUUGUCACGCCGUAUAACCUGCCUCCGUGGUUGUGCAUGAAAGAACAAUUCAUGUUCCUCACAGUCCUCGUGCCUGGCCCAUCAAACCCAAAGAUGAAGUUGGACGUAUUCUUACAGCCAUUGAUACACGAGUUAAAAUCUCUGUGGGAGGUUGGUGUGAACACUUACGACAUAUCGUUGAAGCAAAAUUUCCAGAUGCGAGCAGCUCUGAUAUGGACUAUCAGUGAUUUUCCAGCGUACGCUAUGUUGUCUGGGUGGGGUACAGCUGGGAAAUUGGCAUGUCCACAUUGCAUGGAGAAUACAGAAGCAUUCACUUUGCCGAUGAGUGGAAAACAAUCGUGGUUUGAUAAUCAUCGGAAGUUCUUACCUCCUAACCAUGUGUUUAGGAGAAACAAAACUUCAUUCUUGAGGAAUAAGACAUGCAAUGUUGGUCCACCAGAACAAAGAUCAGGAAUACAAAUCUUGAAUCAAAUCGAGGGGUUAGGCUUCGUGAAGGUUACCGAAGACUUCGAUGGCAGGAACGCUCAACUCGCCAAAUAUCAAGAUGUAGGGUGGAAAAAGAAAAGCAUAUUUUGGGAUCUACCCUAUUGGAGAUAUCUUUUGAUUCGACAUAAUCUGGAUGUUAUGCACAUUGAGAAAAAUGUGUUUGAUAACGUGUUUAAUACUGUCCUGAAUGUGAAGGGGAAGACAAAAGAUACAGAAAAAUCUAGAGAAGAAUUGAACACCUUCUGCAAGCGGAAAGAGUUGAAGAAAGUGGCUGGUACUCGAGGGUAUCCGAAAGCAUGUUAUACGCUUGACAGGGAAGAGAAGAAGAUCUUACUCCAAUGGAUCAAGAGUCUGAAGUUUCCCGAUGGGUACGUGUCAAAUAUUAGUAGAUGCGUUGACAUGAACGCCCUGAAGAUGCACAACAUGAAAAGUCACGACUGUUAAGAUUGAACAACCACUUCUCCUUCAUCCCCUCGGUGGAGUCGUUGAGAUUGAAGAUGACGAUGAAGCAGAAGACGAUGAUUCCCCGUUGACAUCUAACGAUAGUGAUGAUGAUAGUAGUGAUGCUUAUGAAUAAAUGUAAAUGCACAUUUUGGUUGAAUUUGAUUGCAAAUUUGUUAUGUUUGUUUGUUACUGUUAAUGUUAUGUGUCGCUAUAUAUUUGUUAAUUUAAUUGUAUGCAACAGGCAUCAUGUCUACCUCUCGAGGUUUGUUGGGAUUUGGGAGGCGAUAUGGCGUUAAUGCGCCAGAAGCUACAGCAGAU